AAUAAUAAAAAGUACAUCCCUUGCAGACAUAUCUAAACUGUAAAAUAAAUACUCAUUAAAAAUAAAAUAAUUAACAUUAAGUACUAUUCGAAUUAAAAUAAAAAUUAAAUGAUCUCCUAACAAGUCUUUCAUAGUUCAGGAGCGGGGUUUUGAAUAUCUUGAUAUGGAGAAAAUGAAUAAUAUAUAGGAUGAGUUUAAUAUGUUCAGCAAGCAUAUAAGUACCAACAAAUAAUAGGAUAAUUUGUCCAAGUUAGUAGAAAACAUAAAACUACCGAUGGAGAUGGUUCAAAACACUUUUCUUUUUAAUUCGGAAAACACAUGGUAUCUACACCUUAAUUCAUUAACCAAACCUUU
rnacentral:lncRNA from 1 species